ACAAGUGAAUGAAAACGGAAGGGAACUUAACAGGCUGCGCGAAAUGGGACAGAACAUCGCUAAAUCCACUCAAACUUCAACCAAACCAUUGCAGUGGGUGUCGAAUAAUCGUUUUAUUCGCCGGAAAAAAAACAAGACCGCAGAUAAUAUGACACUGGGAUCUGGAUUCACUACGGACAUCAUCUACAGUGGGAGUCGGUGUGUUACCUUGGUCAGAUGGCCAUUUUCUUUCCAUACUUGUUUCCUGCCCUUAUUGAGCUACACCCACGGGCAGAAGCCUGCACAGUUUUUAGCAUGCUUGAUAGGAAUAUCUUGAAGAUCGAAGAUGUGGGAGGGCCUUCAACUAUUGAACCCUGUUCCCGCUGACUGGAUUUGCCAUUACUUCAACAUUGUGACUAUGUCUCUGGCUGGCCACAUUAUCAUCUGUGACUGAGGUUACAAAUGCACAAGGUAGUUUGGGGCUGUAAACAUCCCCGACUGGAAGCUGUCUAUCUGCAGAGCUUUCAGUCUGAUGUUUGCUGCUGCCGACUGCCUCCAGCUCCACAGAAAUGGAAGAGUUCGGUAUAUGUGCCGUGUCCAUUUUAUCUGACCUGCUACUUUAAAAUGCAAACGGAAUUGUGUGGUAAAGUUGUAUUAGAGCUGGGCGAUAUGAAAAAGAAAAGAAAAAAAAAUCAAAUAUCACAAUAUUUGACCAAAUACAUCGAUGUCGAUAUUGUAGGGCUGACUGUUGGUGCUUUCGCAAGAUAUUAACCAAAUGAGAGUUUUGAUCAAUGAUCACCAAUAAUGUGGAUACAAUGACUAAGUGGGUAAAGUCAAAUUAUAAAGCUAGUAAGUCUGGUAAGUUCAUAAAAUUACAUCACUUACUUACUGUAAUGCAGCCUGUAAAACCAGGAAAAGCCAUAUCACGAGCGUCAUAUCACUAUAUCCAAAAUUUAAGACAAUAUCUAGCCUCAUAUAUCGAUGUCGAAUAUAAUAUUGAUAUAUUGCCCAGCACUAAGUUGUAUUACUAAUAAUAGUGGUUAGUAAUUAGGCCCUGUAGGUCCCGUUUUUUGAACCAUAACUUUGUGUUUUGGUGGCUUAUAUGCUCAGUUGUUCCGACUCAGUUCAUGUAAACAUCCUACACUCAGCUGUGAUCAAGCGCAGCAGAGGCUGAGAGAAGGUUGUUUACUUGGACUGGCUGGAAGUGACUCUUUGACAUGAAGCGAGCUGAGCGGAAGGAAGGGCAUCCACAUUAAGAUGAGCUGCAGUUCACCUCCCAUCAGACUUCCUGUUCCCGCUUUCGCGUUGACCUCUUCGACAGAGUUCUUUAAAUAGAGGCCCUGCUAGGGAACAGUCUCAUUUCUGGAUUUGUACAUUAAUCAGCAGGAGUAGGUAGGUUAGUGAGAAAAAGAGGAGUUUAUUUCCUACCAUCAGUUGUGUGGGUUACUCCAGUUCAACACCGAGCCCUGACUGUUGUAUGUGAUGUAGAUUUGGUGUGCUGCUGGAUCAAAGACCCAAUACCUAAAGCCUUGUAAACUCCAAUACCUUACUUGUUAAUGGGGUGUUGAUUUCAUGGGCAGUGUGUGAUUUAUUGUAUUUAAGUCGUGUGCAGUUUUAAGACAUUUUCUAUUAGCCGAUUUAACAUUUCAUGUUUUGCACACAUGUAAUUAACUUGAAAAAUGUUUGAAUUAAUAAAAGUGACAUGGAAAGUCAUAACACAUCCUA